CGGUGCUGUCGAUGACAGGAUGUUCAGUGCGUGUUAGUUCCGUCCGUGUCUUCGAGGCAUGUAGUCGACUGUGGAAAUACAGGAAUUAUUUGAACAUUUAGUUUGCACAGUUCUGUCAAUAGAUUUUUCCUAGCUAAUCACCGGUUAUCUUUCCUUUGUUGUGUCUGGCGAGAUAAUCGAUUGGAAAAGAUAGCGGUCUGGUAUCCGGCACACAUUUACUGCGCGCUCGCCAUGGGGGAAGAAAAAUAUGAAUAAAAAGUAAAAAGAAAAGCUUAGACCAUCGAUUACCAUUUGACUGGCGAAUGUAAACAAACGCGUGGCCGCCAACUUCAAAUUGUUGAGACCGCAGAUCUAGUAAAUAUUCGAAAUGUGGAAUUCCAAAGCAAUUUACUCCUGGAGAAAAUGAGAAAGGAAGGGGUGCUUUUGAACACCAAGCAUCCAUUUUACCACAAAAAUCUUUAAACGGACCCUGUUUGACAAGAUAUACUCAAGAGUUGAUGUCGAAGUAUCCACAGCUUCCUGGACUGACGACAGGUGAUGUAAUGUACAAGUUCCAGUGUCAGAAAAUACUGCGGAAAAGGAACAGUAUCAAAAAAUGCUGCGGAAAUAUAAAAAUACUCCGAGUGGUUCAGGGGCUCAAGUUUCUUACACCAUGAUGACUUAGAUCUACUCCUUCCCCUCAACCUGUUAUAACCGAAGGAGUCAUUGUGGGAACAUCUGUAGCUACUACUAGCUAUGCUGGAAACCCAUCAGUGAAAGAAAGAAAGAGGAAAAUGAGCAGUGAUCCACUUGAUGAGAUGAUGACAAAGGCCACUCGCAAAAUGGAACAGACAUGGACUGAACACUCAAGGCUGCCAAUCCGCUACUGAGGCAGUAAUGAAUCACCUUGCUUCUGAUGACUUGAAGAUGAAGUUAUCUUUUUCAUUUAUGGAACUUGUCACUAGAACACAAAAUAGCCUAGAAAUGUAGCGACAAGUACUUUAUUCAUUCAGUGAGUUUAGGGUACAUAUAUAUACUAUUGUUAUAUAUUUCCUAUGGACAAUACUUUAGAUUGUCAUUCUAUUUUCCAAAA